UGCAUGUCCCUAAAAGAAGCUCAUGAAGAAUUGUAUUAAUGUCAUGUGAAGAGUUCAGUGACGUAUGGAUUGAUAGAUGGUAUGUAACUGUGGGUGAUAUACAUUUAAUACUCUGAGGACAAAGUGAAGGAGUCACUGUUAACAUGGCUCUCCACCAGUUUCUGUGUGGCUUCACUGUGGUGAUCAUUCUCUUAUCCAAAGGUUGUCAGUCACAGGACUGCGGCAAAGCUCCCAAAAACACUGGAAUUGUGGGAGGUGGAGAUGCCUCCCAGGAAGUUGGCCCUGGCAGGCCGAAUUGAGAGAAGAUGGUAAAUACAUCUGUGUGGGGUCACUGAUUAACGACCAGUGGGUGCUGACAGUUGCAGACUACAUAACAGGGGCUCGGAACUUAACAGUUCAUCUGGGCCGCCAACAACCCGGACAGCUCCAAACAACAAUGAAGUGUCACGGGGAGUUGCUGAGACGGUUCUCCACCCUUUACGCAGCUUUUCAAAGAACAUCGCUCUGCUGAAGCUGUCGGCCUCUGUGAAUUUUACUGACUACAUAAGACCAGUAUGCUUGGCCUCAGAAAACAGCACUUUCCACACUGGGACUAACAACUGGGUCACUGGUUGGCCCUACGGUACUUCCACAAACAUCCUACGGCAGGUCAACACAUCAAUAGUGGGAAACAAUCAGUGCAGAUGCCUACUACAAGACUAUAAUCACAGAGAGCAUCAUCUGUGCCGUAGCCAAACCUAAUGGA